rnacentral:tRNA from 1 species
GGGUCGGUGGCCGAGUGGUUAAAGGCAGCAGACUGUAAAUCUGCCGACGUAAGUCUACGGAGGUUCAAAUCCUUCCCGGCCCACAA